CCUACGGGUGGCAGCAGUGAGGAAUAUUGGUCAAUGGCCGCAGGGCUGAACCAGCCAAGUCGCGUGAGGGAUGACGGUCCUAUGGAUUGUACACCUCUUUUGUCAGGGAGCAAAUGUCGCCACGUGUGUCGCUUUGCGAGUACCUGAAUAAAAAGCAUCGGCUAACUCCGUGCCAUCAGCCGCGGUAAUACGGAGGAUGCGAGCGUUCUCCGGAUUUAUUGGGUUUAAAGGGUGCGAAGGCGGACUGUGAAUUCAGCGGUAAAAUUUCGGGGCUCAAACCCGUCGUGCCGUUGAAACUGGCGGUCUUGAGUGAGCGAGAAGUAUGCGGAAUGCGUGGUGUAGCGGUGAAAUGCAUAGAUAUCACGCAGAACUCCGAUUGCGAAGGCAGCAUACCGGCGCUCAACUGACGCUCAUGCACGAAAGCGUGGGUAUCGAACAGGAUUAGAUACCCGUGUAGUC
rnacentral:rRNA from 1 species